rnacentral:rRNA from 1 species
CGCUGGCGGCGUGCCUAACACAUGCAAGUCGAGCGAGAAAAGGGUAGCAAUAUCCUGAGUAAAGCGGCGCACGGGUGAGUAACACGUGGGUAAUCUGCCCUGGAGUGGGGAAUAACACCGGGAAACCGGUGCUAAUACCGCAUACGAUCACGAUGUCUGCGGACGUUGUGAUGAAAGGAGCAAUUCGCUCCAGGAGGAGCCCGCGGCUGAUUAGCUAGUUGGUGAGGUAAUGGCUCACCAAGGCUACGAUCAGUAUCCGGUCUGAGAGGACGGUCGGACACACUGGAACUGAGACACGGUCCAGACUCCUACGGGAGGCAGCAGUGGGGAAUUUUUGGCAAUGAGGGAAACCCUGACCAAGCAACGCCGCGUGGAUGAUGAAGUCUCUUGGGACGUAAAAUCCUUUCGACGGGGAAGAAAGCCGCAAGGCUUGACGGUACCCGUAGAAGAAGCCCCGGCUAACUCCGUGCCAGCAGCCGCGGUAAUACGGGGGGGGCAAGCGUUGUUCGGAAUUACUGGGCGUAAAGGGCGCGUAGGCGGUUUGCUAAGUUGGAUGUGAAAACUUUGGGCUUAACCCAGAGCCUGCAUCCAAAACUAGCAGACUAGAGUUCUGGAGGGGGUAGCGGAAUUCCUGGUGUAGCGGUGAAAUGCGUAGAUAUCAGGAGGAACACCGGUGGCGAAGGCGGCUACCUGGACAGAAACUGACGCUGAGGCGCGAAAGCUAGGGGAGCA